rnacentral:rRNA from 1 species
CGAACGGGUGAGUAACACGUGAGUAACCUACCUUCAAGUGGGGGACAACAUUUGGAAACGAAUGCUAAUACCGCAUAAGACCACAGCACCGCAUGGUGCAGCGGCCAAAGGAGCAAUUCGCUUGAAGAUGGACUCGCGUCCAAUUAGAUAGUUGGUGAGGUAAUGGCUCACCAAGUCUACGAUUGGUAGCCGGACUGAGAGGUUGAACGGCCACAUUGGGACUGAGACACGGCCCAGACUCCUACGGGAGGCAGCAGUGGGGAAUAUUGCACAAUGGGCGAAAGCCUGAUGCAGCGACGCCGCGUGAGGGAAGAAGGUUUUCGGAUUGUAAACCUCUGUCUUCGGGGACGAUAAUGACGGUACCCGAGGAGGAAGCCACGGCUAACUACGUGCCAGCAGCCGCGGUAAAACGUAGGUGGCAAGCGUUGUCCGGAAUUACUGGGUGUAAAGGGAGCGCAGGCGGAAAGGCAAGUUGGGAGUGAAAACUAUGGGCUCAACCCAUAGACUGCUUUCAAAACUGCUUUUCUUGAGUGAUGUAGAGGUAGGCGGAAUUCCCGGUGUAGCGGUGGAAUGCGUAGAUAUCGGGAGGAACACCAGUGGCGAAGGCGGCCUACUGGGCAUUUACUGACGCUGAGGCUCGAAAGUAUGGGGAGCAAACAGGAUUAGAUACCCUGGUAGUCCAUACUGUAAACGAUGAUACUAGGUGUGGGGGGGAUAGACCCCCUCCGUGCCGCAGCUAACGCAAUAAGUAAUCCACCUGGGGAGUACGGUCGCAAGACUGAAACUCAAAGGAAUUGACGGGGGCCCGCACAAGCAGUGGAGUAUGUGGUUUAAUUCGACG